GCCGCGCGAACGCGUCCCCCCUCUAUCAUAAAUUAUGACGUCCACUCUCCCACUUGAGGAGAUGGUAAGCCAGCGCAUCCAUCAGAUGCACUGUGGACCACUAGCCUAGACCACGACUCUUCAUAA
rnacentral:rRNA from 1 species